rnacentral:lncRNA from 1 species
ACCUCCCAAGAAAAAUUUGUCCACUUCUAAUUAAGUCCUAAUUCAAAACUUAGAUUCUACCAUCUACGCAUGUUUUCACCUAAUCUAUAUGUAAAAACAAGCUACCAAAACAACAUUUUUGUUUCUCCCAUCAUUUCAUCGCACAUCUCACUUGAGAACAAAAAAAAAACACACAAAUUCACCGAGAUAUUUUACCCGGACAAAGAGUGAAACCAACGAGGCCAUUACAAAAUUUGGAAAAAAAAAAUUACCACCAGAAAACCGUUUGGCUUUCAAUUUCUUUCAUUUAAAAUAAAAGCGAGUGAACGGAAUAGACAGGUCAAAAAAGAAGAGAAAGGGGGCAUGCAAUCGUAAAAAAAAAGUUGUAUUUU